UAGAAUCGGCAGCCCUUCGGGGCUCGUGCACAGGUGGUGCAUGGCUGUCGUCAGCUCGUGUCGUGAGAUGUUGGGUUAAGUCCCGCAACGAGCGCAACCCUUGUCACUAGUUGCUACGGUAACGGGCACUCUAGUGAGACUGCCGGUGACAAACCGGAGGAAGGUGGGGAUGACGUCAAGUCCUCAUGGCCCUUAUGGGUAGGGCUUCACACGUAAUACAAUGGCGCGUACAGAGGGUUGCCAAGCCGCGAGGUGGAGCCAAUCCCUCAAAGCGCGUCGUAGUCCGGAUUGCAGUCUGCAACUCGACUGCAUGAAGUCGGAAUCGCUAGUAAUCGCGGAUCAGCAUGUCGCGGUGAAUACGUUCCCGGGUCUUGUACACACCGCCCGUCACACCAUGGGAGUGGGUUUCACCAGAAGCCGGUCGCUUAACCCGCAAGGGAUGGCGCCGACCACGGUGAGAUUCAUGACUGGGGUGAAGUCGUAACAAGGUAGCCGU
rnacentral:rRNA from 1 species